UGGGGAAUAUUGCACAAUGGGCGCAAGCCUGAUGCAGCCAUGCCGCGUGUAUGAAGAAGGCCUUCGGGUUGUAAAGUACUUUCAGCGGGGAGGAAGGGAGUAAAGUUAAUACCUUUGCUCAUUGACGUUACCCGCAGAAGAAGCACCGGCUAACUCCGUGCCAGCAGCCGCGGUAAUACGGAGGGUGCAAGCGUUAAUCGGAAUUACUGGGCGUAAAGCGCACGCAGGCGGUUUGUUAAGUCAGAUGUGAAAUCCCCGGGCUCAACCUGGGAAUUGCAUCUGAUACUGGCAAGCUUGAGUCUCGUAGAGGGGGGUAGAAUUCCAGGUGUAGCGGUGAAAUGCGUAGAGAUCUGGAGGAAUACCGAUGGCGAAGGCGGCCCCCUGGACGAAGACUGACGCUCAGGUGCGAAAGCGUGGGGAGCAAACAGG
rnacentral:rRNA from 1 species